rnacentral:rRNA from 1 species
GAUGAACGCUGGCGGCGUGCCUAAUACAUGCAAGUCGAGCGAACAGACGAGGAGCUUGCUCCUCUGACGUUAGCGGCGGACGGGUGAGCAACACGUGGAUAACCUACCUAUAAGACUGGGAUAACUUCGGGAAACCGGAUCUAAUACCGGAUCAUAUAUUGAACCGCAUGGUUCAAUAGUGAAAGACGGUUUUGCUGUCACUUAUAGAUGUAUCCGCGCCGCAUUAGCUAGUUGGUAAGGUAACGGCUUACCAAGGCAACGAUGCGUAGCCGACCUGAGAGGGUGAUCGGCCACACUGGAACUGAGACACGGUCCAGACUCCUACGGGAGGCAGCAGUAGGGAAUCUUCCGCAAUGGGCGAAAGCCUGACGGAGCAACGCCGCGUGAGUGAUGAAGGUCUUCGGAUCGUAAAACUCUGUUAUUAGGGAAGAACAAAUGUGUAAGUAACUAUGCACGUCUUGACGGUACCUAAUCAGAAAGCCACGGCUAACUACGUG